UCCAAGGCUAAAUACUCCUGACUGACCGAUAGUGAACCAGUACCGUGAGGGAAAGGCGAAAAGAACCCCGGCGAGGGGAGUGAAAAAGAACCUGAAACCGUGUACGUACAAGCAGUGGGAGCACCUUCGGGUGUGACUGCGUACCUUUUGUAUAAUGGGUCAGCGACUUAUAUUCUGUAGCAAGGUUAACCGUAUAGGGGAGCCGCAGGGAAACCGAGUCUUAACUGGGCGUUAAGUUGCAGGGUAUAGACCCGA
rnacentral:rRNA from 1 species